rnacentral:tRNA from 1 species
GGCCCAUUGGUCAAGCGGUCAAGACACCGCCUUUUCACGGCGGUAACUCGGGUUCCAUUCCCGGAUGGGUCA